CAGUAGCCGCGGGAAUACGGGGGGGGCAAGUGUUAUUCGGAAUGACUGGGCGUAAAGGGCACGUAGGCGGUGAAAAGGGUGGAAAGUGAAAGUCGCCAAAACACUGGCGGGGUGCUUUCUUGACCAUUUCACUUGAGUGAGAUAGGGGAGAGUGGAAUUUCGUGUGGAGGGAUCAAAUCCUAAGAUAUACGAAGGAACGCCAACCGCGAAGGCAGCUCUCUGGGUCCCCACUGACGCUGGGGUGCGAAAGCAUGGGGAGCAAACAGGAUCAGAUACCCGGGUAGUCCCUGUCUCUUAUACA
rnacentral:rRNA from 1 species